UUUCUCUCUUCAUUUCUUUUGAGGUUAUGAUGGACGUGUUACAAUUUGGAGUUCUGCUGAUGAUUGUUUCAAGUGAGAAUGAUUUCACUUCUGUUAUUUUUGUCAUUUCAAUCUGCAGAAAUGAACUAUUGUUUUCAUGUUUUUCAGCUGUUCGUGGUCAGUCUUUGACCUCCUCAGACUCUGUGGUGAAAAGACCAGGAGAAUCAGUCACUCUGUCCUGCACUGUGUCUGGAUUCUCAAUGAGCAGCUACUGGAUGCACUGGAUCCGCCAGAAACCAGGGAAAGGACUGGAGUGGAUCGGGCGAAUUGAUCGUGGCACUGGCACUAUUUUUGCUCAGUCUUUACAAGGCCAGUUCACCAUCACCAAAGACACCAGUAAAAACAUGCUGUAUUUAGAGGUGAAACAGCUGAAGAGUGAAGACACAGCUGUUUAUUACUGUGCACGAGACUCACAGUUGCACAAAACACUGCAGGACUGA